rnacentral:rRNA from 1 species
GAUGAACGCUGGCGGCGUGCCUAAUACAUGCAAGUCGAGCGAACAGACGAGGAGCUUGCUCCUCUGACGUUAGCGGCGGACGGGUGAGUAACACGUGGAUAACCUACCUAUAAGACUGGGAUAACUUCGGGAAACCGGAGCUAAUACCGGAUAAUAUAUUGAACCGCAUGGUUCAAUAGUGAAAGACGGUUUUGCUGUCACUUAUAGAUGGAUCCGCGCCGCAUUAGCUAGUUGGUAAGGUAACGGCUUACCAAGGCAACGAUGCGUAGCCGACCUGAGAGGGUGAUAGGCCACACUGGAACUGAGACACGGUCCAGACUCCUACGGGAGGCAGCAGUAGGGAAUCUUCCGCAAUGGGCGAAAGCCUGACGGAGCAACGCCGCGUGAGUGAUGAAGGUCUUCGGAUCGUAAAACUCUGUUAUUAGGGAAGAACAAAUGUGUAAGUAACUAUGCACGUCUUGACGGUACCUAAUCAGAAAGCCACGGCUAACUACGUA